rnacentral:rRNA from 1 species
GACGAACGCUGGCGGCGUGCUUAACACAUGCAAGUCGAACGGAAAGGCCCUGCUUUUGUGGGGUGCUCGAUUGGCGAACGGGUGAGUAACACGUGAGUAACCUGCCCUUGACUUUGGGAUAACUUCAGGAAACUGGGGCUAAUACCGGGUAGGAGCUCCUGCUGCAUGGUGGGGGUUGGAAAGUUUCGGCGGUUGGGGAUGGACUCGCGGCUUAUCAGCUUGUUGGUGGGGUAGUGGCUUACCAAGGCUUUGACGGGUAGCCGGCCUGAGAGGGUGACCGGCCACAUUGGGACUGAGAUACGGCCCAGACUCCUACGGGAGGCAGCAGUGGGGAAUAUUGCACAAUGGGCGGAAGCCUGAUGCAGCAACGCCGCGUGCGGGAUGACGGCCUUCGGGUUGUAAACCGCUUUCGCCUGUGACGAAGCGUGAGUGACGGUAAUGGGUAAAGAAGCACCGGCUAACUACGUG